rnacentral:rRNA from 1 species
UACGUAGGCAGCGAGCGUUGUUCGGAGUUACUGGGCGUAAAGCGUGCGUAGGCGGUGUCUUAAGUUUGUUGUGAAAUCUCCCGGCUUAACCGGGAGGGUGCGGCGAAUACUGAGAUGCUGGAGUGCGGGAGAGGUAAGCGGAAUUCCAGGUGUAGCGGUGAAAUGCGUAGAUAUCUGGAGGAACACCGGUGGCGAAGGCGGCAUCCUGGACCGGUAUUGACGCUGAGGCGCGAAAGCCAGGAGAGCAAACGGG